UCCUUUAGAAUUGGAGUGAGAUCUCCACUCUCAGUGUCUCAACACCUAGUAUUCCAGGUGGAUGAGUGAAGCACAGUUACAGUGUUGAGUUCGAUUCUUCGGGUCCUACUGUCAGGGAAGAUGGGUUGCUUCUCUCACUAGAAACCAUAGGAAGCCAUCGGUGGCAGGUCAGCAGUUGGAAAAAUGGUUCUGGCUGCAGAGAAUCAACAGGAAAGGGGCUAGAUAGGAGGUGGAAGGCCAGUCAAGAGGUUGGCACAAUGGACCAAAUGAGAGAUGAGGCCUGGAGUAAAGGCAUGGAGAGGGUGGGAUG
rnacentral:lncRNA from 1 species